CACGCGGUAAACGAUGAUUACUGGUUGUUCGCGAUACACUGUGAGCGACUGAGCGAAAGCGUUAAGUAAUCCACCUGGGGAGUACGUUCGCAAGAAUGAAACUCAAAGGAAUUGACGGGG
rnacentral:rRNA from 1 species